rnacentral:rRNA from 1 species
AUGAACGCUGGCGGCGUGCCUCAUCCAUGCAAGUCGCGCGCACGGACGAGAAGCUUGCUUCUCUGAUGUUAGCGGCGGACGGGUGAGUAACACGUGGAUAACCUACCUAUAAGACUGGGAUAACUUCGGGAAACCGGAGCUAAUACCGGAUAAUAUUUUGAACCGCAUGGUUCAAAAGUGAAAGACGGUCUUGCUGUCACUUAUAGAUGGAUCCGCGCUGCAUUAGCUAGUUGGUAAGGUAACGGCUUACCAAGGCAACGAUGCAUAGCCGACCUGAGAGGGUGAUCGGCCACACUGGAACUGAGACACGGUCCAGACUCCUACGGGAGGCAGCAGUAGGGAAUCUUCCGCAAUGGGCGAAAGCCUGACGGAGCAACGCCGCGUGAGUGAUGAAGGUCUUCGGAUCGUAAAACUCUGUUAUUAGGGAAGAACAUAUGUGUAAGUAACUGUGCACAUCUUGACGGUACCUAAUCAGAAAGCCACGGCUAACUACGUG